rnacentral:rRNA from 1 species
UACGAAGGGGGCUAGCGUUGCUCGGAAUCACUGGGCGUAAAGCGCACGUAGGCGGCUUCUUAAGUCAGGGGUGAAAUCCUGGAGCUCAACUCCAGAACUGCCUUUGAUACUGAGGAGCUUGAGUCCGGGAGAGGUGAGUGGAACUGCGAGUGUAGAGGUGAAAUUCGUAGAUAUCCGCAGGAACAUCCGAGGCGAAAGCGGCUUGCUGGAUCGCAACUGACGCUGAGGGACGAAAGCUAGGGGAGCAAACAGG